CUUCAACGAACCGAGCCACAGUGGCCGAUCCGCAUCGCGACCCUGCCCAUAGGUGGCCAAAAGGGCCUGGGCCUC
rnacentral:antisense_RNA from 1 species